UAUCGCGCCGCUAAGCUAACAACAAAGCUAGCACAAGGGAAGCGGAGGAGGAAUGCACACGUCAUCAGCCACUGGAGCGUUUGUGUACGGAAGUGGGAAAGCGGAAGUGCCGGUACGUCACACCGAAGAGCGAAAAUUCAGAGGCCUACAGCCAGUUCUUCCUUGAUCAUUCCACUUUGAGCCCUGAGGAAAGGAUGAUAUGAGCUUAUUGCUCUUCCUCCACACCUGAGCACCACUGGCACAAGCCACUGUCCAGACUGCAGGUUCAACAAGUGUGGGAUGGAAGAUGGAAAAUGAUACGUCAGCCAAUCAUCACUCUUUGUUUUCAGGCCUUCUAAUAGAUCAUAAGUCAACCAUUGUUGGCCAAGACAGACUAGGCCCUGACGAGACGCUGAAUGAAAGCAAAAAUAGAGCCUGUCAGCGCCCACGGGAGGGACUCGUCAGGACCUCGCCUCCUUGCCUUGCCUGGUCCUUGGUUCUUGCUGGGAAAAACCGGGGGCCGCUGUUUGUUAAAGUUGUCUCGCAGUGUACAGCAUGGGAACGGCUUCUCCCUGGAGUUCCCUGUGCAUAUGUACUGUGGCGGAAUCGACUCAACAUCCACUCCCAGCCUCCAUAAUUUGGGUCUCGAACCUGUGACCCUCAAUGUGAGCCAAGCCUUCGUGAGCGUGUGUUAUCAUGAAAGUCAAUUAUUUAACGUCAGUGCACGACCUCGACGGUCCAACACCCCCCCAACCCACACACACACACCUUCACCACCCCCAUGGACCCCACCUCCCCACCCCACCAUAGAG